AUUGAACGCUGGCGGCAUGCCUUAUACAUGCAAGUCGAACGGCAGCACGGGGCAACCUGGUGGCGAGUGGCGAACGGGUGAGUAAUGCAUCGGAACGUACCUUUCAGUGGGGGAUAACGUAGCGAAAGUUACGCUAAUACCGCAUAUUCUGUGAGCAGGAAAGCAGGGGAUCGCAAGACCUUGCGCUGAUUGAGCGGCCGAUGUCAGAUUAGCUAGUUGGUGAGGUAAAGGCUCACCAAGGCGACGAUCUGUAGCGGGUCUGAGAGGAUGAUCCGCCACACUGGAACUGAGACACGGUCCAGACUCCUACGGGAGGCAGCAGUGGGGAAUUUUGGACAAUGGGGGCAACCCUGAUCCAGCCAUGCCGCGUGAGUGAAGAAGGCCUUCGGGUUGUAAAGCUCUUUCAGCCGGGAAGAAAUCGCACGGGCUAAUACCCUGUGUGGAUGACGGUACCGGAAUAAGAAGCACCGGCUAACUACGUGCCAGCAGCCGCGGUAAGAC
rnacentral:rRNA from 1 species